rnacentral:lncRNA from 1 species
CCCGGUUUCCUUUAGGUUGACACAUAUCCAUUGGUCUCCUGCUGGUGAGAAGCUCCAGAAGAACCACCCCAAAACUGUACACAUCGCCUUUAUAUGUUGCAACUGAGGCUUGGCCAUACUCGGGAGGAAUGUAGCCCAGAGUCCCAACAAGAUCUGUCGACACAUGACUGUCAUAGUUAGGUACAAGCCUCGCAAGGCCAAAAUCAGCCAAGUGAGCUACAAACUUGUCAUCUAGAAGAAUGUUACUAGACUUGAUAUCACGAUGGACGAUAUGAGGUUCACAUGAUUGGUGCAAGUAAGCGAGCCCUCUUGCUGCCCCCUGAGCAAUCUGCAGCCUGGCAUCCCAGUCUAGUAAAGAAGGGCCGUCUAUUUUCUCAUGCAACCAAAAAUCCAAGCUACUGUUCUCCAUGUAUGCAUAUAUUAAGAGUCUGUCAUUCUUGUAGGUAUAAUAACCCUGAAGCUGGACAAGGUUUGGAUGCCGAGCUCUUGAAAGUGUUUCGAUUUCUGCCUGGAAUUCUCUAUCCAUCUGACCAGUGUCACCAGAGAGCCGCUUGAUUGCAACCUUCUUACCACUGGGAAAGGUGGCCUUGUAGACCAAACCAAAGCCUCCACAGCCAAUAAUGUUUGAUUGAUCAAAGCUGUUAGUUGAUUUCAGAAUGUCAUCAAGUGAGAGCUCUUUAU